GACGAACGCUGGCGGCGUGCUUAACACAUGCAAGUCGAACGGAAAGGCCCUGCUUUUGUGGGGUGCUCGAGUGGCGAACGGGUGAGUAACACGUGAGUAACCUGCCCUUGACUUUGGGAUAACUUCCGGAAACUGGGGCUAUUCCCGGUUAGAAGCUCCUGCUGCAUGGUGGGGGUUGGAAAGUUUAGGCGGUUGGGGUUGGCCGCGCGGCUUAUCAGCUUGUUGGGGGGGUAGUGGCUUACCAAGGCUUUGACGGGUAGCCGGCCUGAGAGGGUGACCGGGCACAUGGCGACUGAGAGACGGCCCAGACGGCUACGGGAGGCAGCAGUGGGGAAUAUUGCACAAUGGGCGGAAGCGUGAUGCAGCAACGCCGCGUGCGGGAUGACGGCCUUCGGGUUGUAAACCGCUUUCGCCUGUUACGAAGCGUGAGUGACGGUAAUGGGUAAAGAAGCACCGGCUAACUACGUG
rnacentral:rRNA from 1 species